UACGUAGGGUCCGAGCGUUGUCCGGAAUUAUUGGGCGUAAAGAGCUCGUAGGCGGCAUGUCGCGUCUGCUGUGAAAGACCGGGGCUCAACUUCGGUUUUGCAGUGGAUACGGGCAUGCUAGAGGUAGGUAGGGGAGACUGGAAUUCCUGGUGUAGCGGUGGAAUGCGCAGAUAUCAGGAGGAACACCGGUGGCGAAGGCGGGUCUCUGGGCCUUACCUGACGCUGAGGAGCGAAAGCAUGGGUAGCGAACAGGAUUAGAUACCCGGGUAGU
rnacentral:rRNA from 1 species